ACGGGAGGCAGCAGUGAGGAAUAUUGGUCAAUGGGCGGAAGCCUGAACCAGCCAAGUCGCGUGAAGGAUGAAGGUAUUAUGUAUUGUAAACUUCUUUAGCAGCAGAGUAAUAAGGGGGUCGUGACCUCCGAUGCAAGUAUGCUGAGAAUAAGGAUCGGCUAACUCCGUGCCAGCAGCCGCGGUAAUACGGAGGAUGCGAGCGUUAUCCGGAUUUAUUGGGUUUAAAGGGUGCGUAGGCGGGAUGGUAAGUCAGUGGUGAAAGUUUGCGGCUCAACCGUAAAAUUGCCGUUGAAACUGCCGUUCUUGAGUGCGAGCGAGGUAGGCGGAAUGUGCCGUGUAGCGGUGAAAUGCAUAGAUAUGGUACAGAACUCCGAUUGCGAAGGCAGCCUACCAGUACGCUACUGACGCUGAGGCACGAAAGCGUGGGUAUCGAACAGGAUUAGAUACCCUGGUA
rnacentral:rRNA from 1 species